rnacentral:rRNA from 1 species
CUCGUAGGCGGUUCGUCGCGUCCGGUGUGAAAGUCCAUCGCCUAACGGUGGAUCUGCGCCGGGUACGGGCGGGCUGGAGUGCGGUAGGGGAGACUGGAAUUCCCGGUGUAACGGUGGAAUGUGUAGAUAUCGGGAAGAACACCAAUGGCGAAGGCAGGUCUCUGGGCCGUUACUGACGCUGAGGAGCGAAAGCGUGGGGAGCGAAACA